rnacentral:lncRNA from 1 species
GCCACUUAUACCUUGCCCUGCUCUCUCUGUAAGUCCUCUCAUAGCAGGAAAACUCUGCAAGAGGCGUUGAGUGGGAAAUCCAGGCACAGAACCUGGACAGAUCGACCUGCACACUGGUCCAAAGUGUAUGGCUGACUGGCGGCAAGUGAGAAACUGCAGGUGUGUGGGUUUAUUCCCUACUCUAAUAAGAAGGACCAUUUUUUGUGCUGUUAACCAGGGGAUUCCGCUUGGGGUCUUAUUAAAUUGAUUGGCAAAUGAGAACUUGGAAACACCCUAGAAAGGUAAGGUUUGCUGGAAUUCAGUUGGGAUGUGGGCCGAGGCACCUACUCUGGAAUCCCAGAGCAGUCUGGGAACAGUUCUAGAACAUUCACUGGGACAGUGUGAAUGAACCAUUUCGGAACAGUCACUGU